rnacentral:rRNA from 1 species
UACGUAGGGGGGCAAGCGUUGUCCGGAAUUAUUGGGCGUAAAGAGCUUGUAGGCGGUCUGUCGCGUCUGCUGUGAAAAUCCGGGGCUCAACCCCGGACUUGCAGUGGGUACGGGCAGACUAGAGUGUGGUAGGGGAGACUGGAAUCCUGGUGUAGCGGUGAAAUGCGCAGAUAUCAGGAGGAACACCGAUGGCGAAGGCAGGUCUCUGGGCCACUACUGACGCUGGAGA